rnacentral:rRNA from 1 species
AUUGAACGCUGGCGGCAGGCCUAACACAUGCAAGUCGAACGGUAGCACAGAGAGCUUGCUCUCGGGUGACGAGUGGCGGACGGGUGAGUAAUGUCUGGGAAACUGCCCGAUGGAGGGGGAUAACUACUGGAAACGGUAGCUAAUACCGCAUAACGUCGCAAGACCAAAGUGGGGGACCUUCGGGCCUCACACCAUCGGAUGUGCCCAGAUGGGAUUAGCUAGUAGGUGGGGUAAUGGCUCACCUAGGCGACGAUCCCUAGCUGGUCUGAGAGGAUGAGCAGCCACACGGGAACUGAGACACGGUCCAGACUCCUACGGGAGGCAGCAGUGGGGAAUAUUGCACAAUGGGCGCAAGCCUGAUGCAGCCAUGCCGCGUGUAUGAAGAAGGCCUUCGGGUUGUAAAGUACUUUCAGCGGGGAGGAAGGCGGUGAAGUUAAUAGCUUCACCGAUUGACGUUACCCGCAGAAGAAGCACCGGCUAACUCCGUGCCAGCCGCCGCCGUAA